AGUGAACGCUGGCGGUAGGCCUAACACAUGCAAGUCGAACGGCAGCACAGUAAGAGCUUGCUCUUACGGGUGGCGAGUGGCGGACGGGUGAGGAAUACAUCGGAAUCUACUUUUUCGUGGGGGAUAACGUAGGGAAACUUACGCUGAUACCGCAUACGACCUACGGGUGAAAGCAGGGGAUCUUCGGACCUUGCGCGAUUGAAUGAGCCGAUGUCGGAUUAGCUAGUUGGCGGGGUAAAGGCCCACCAAGGCGACGAUCCGUAGCUGGUCUGAGAGGAUGAUCAGCCACACUGGAACUGAGACACGGUCCAGACUCCUACGGGAGGUAGCAGUGGGGAAUAUUGGACAAUGGGCGCAAGCCUGAUCCAGCCAUACCGCGUGGGUGAAGAAGGCCUUCGGGUUGUAAAGCCCUUUUGUUGGGAAAGAAAAGCAGCAGGUUAAUACCCCGCUGUUCUGACGGUACCCAAAGAAUAAGCACCGGCUAACUUCGUG
rnacentral:rRNA from 1 species